AAGGGCGCGUAGGCGGAUUAUCAAGUCUCUUGUGAAAUCUAAUGGCUUAACCAUUAAACUGCUUGGGAAACUGAUAGUCUAGAGUGAGGGAGAGGCAGAUGGAAUUGGUGGUGUAGGGGUAAAAUCCGUAGAUAUCACCAAGAAUACCCAUUGCGAAGGCGAUCUGCUGGAACUCAACUGACGCUAAGGCGCGAAAGCGUGGGGAGCAAACAGGAUUAGAUACCCUGGUAGUCCACGCCCUAAACGAUGUACACUAGUUGUUGGGGUGCUAGUCAUCUCAGUAAUGCAGCUAACGCAUUAAGUGUACCGCCUGGGGAGUACGGUCGCAAGAUUAAAACUCAAAGGAAUAGACGGGGACCCGCACAAGCGGUGGAGCAUGUGGUUUAAUUCGAAGAUACGCGAAGAACCUUACCUGGGCUUGAUAUCCUAAGAACCUUUUAGAGAUAAGAGGGUGCUAGCUUGCUAGAACUUAGAGACAGGUGCUGCACGGCUGUCGUCAGCUCGUGUCGUGAGAUGUUGGGUUAAGUCCCGCAACGAGCGCAACCCACGUAUUUAGUUGCUAACGGUUCGGCCGAGCACUCUAAAUAGACUGCCUUCGUAAGGAGGAGGAAGGUGUGGACGACGUCAAGUCAUCAUGGCCCUUAUGCCCAGGGCGACACACGUGCUACAAUGGCAUAUACAAUGAGACGCAAUACCGCGAGGUGGAGCAAAUCUAUAAAAUAUGUCCCAGUUCGGAUUGUUCUCUGCAACUCGAGAGCAUGAAGCCGGAAUCGCUAGUAAUCGUAGAUCAGCCAUGCUACGGUGAAUACGUUCCCGGGUCUUGUAC
rnacentral:rRNA from 1 species